CCCAGACUCCUACGGGAGGCAGCAGUGGGGAAUAUUGGGCAAUGGGCGCAAGCCUGACCCAGCAACGCCGCGUGAAGGAAGAAGGCUUUCGGGUUGUAAACUUCUUUUAAGAGGGAAGAGAAGAAGACGGUACCUCUUGAAUAAGCCACGGCUAACUCCGUGCCAGCAGCCGCGGUAAUACGGAGGAUGCGAGCGUUAUCCGGAUUUAUUGGGUUUAAAGGGUGCGUAGGCGGAAUGCCAAGUCAGCGGUAAAAUCGGGGGGCUCAACCGCGCUCCGCCGUUGAAACUGGCGUUCUUGAGUGGGCGAGAAGUAUGCGGAAUGCGUGGUGUAGCGGUGAAAUGCAUAGAUAUCACGCAGAACUCCGAUUGCGAAGGCAGCAUACCGGCGCCCAACUGACGCUGAAGCACGAAAGCGUGGGUAUCGAACAGGAUUAGAUACCCCGGUA
rnacentral:rRNA from 1 species